rnacentral:rRNA from 1 species
UUGGAGGGCAAGUCUGGUGCCAGCAGCCGCGGUAAUUCCAGCUCCAAUAGCGUAUAUUUAAGUUGUUGCAGUUAAAAAGCUCGUAGUUGGACUUUGGGUUGGGUCGGCCGGUCCGCCUUAUGGUGUGCACCGGUUUACUCGUCCCUUCUGUCGGCGAUGCGUUCCUAGCCUUAAUUGGUCGGGUCGUGCCUCCGGCGCUGUUACUUUGAAGAAAUUAGAGUGUUUAAAGCAGGCGCACGCUUGAAUACAUUAGCAUGGAAUAAUGAAAUAGGACGUUUGAUUCUAUUUUGUUGGUUUCUAGGAUCGACGUAAUGAUUAAUAGGGAUAGUUGGGGGCAUUAGUAUUCAAUUGUCAGAGGUGAAAUUCUUGGAUUUAUUGAAGACUAACUACCGCGAAAGCAUUUGCCAAGGAUGUUUUCAUUAAUCAAGAACGAAAGUUAGGGGAUCGAAGACGAUCAGAUACCGUCGUAGUCUUAACCAUAAACUAUGCCGACUGGGGAUCGGAUGAUGUUAAUUUUUUAAUGACUCAUUCGGCGCCUUACGGGAAAC